UCCGCCUCCUGGUAACCCGGGCGACCGCUCCGAAGCUCCGCCCCCGCCUCGCGCUUCCCCGUCCGGGCUCCGAGGCCCCGCCCCCGAGGAGGCCGCGGGUCCUACCUCCCCGGCGCCCGGCCCGCGGGUGGGCCCGGGGUUGGCAGCGCGCGCCCCGAGCCGAGCGGUAGCCGAGUUCCCCAUGCAAACCGCCGAGCGCUCGCCGGCGCCGCCCCGGCUGCCCCCGCACGACCCGGGCACGCCGGCGCUGUCGGUGGUGGACAUGCACACGGGCGGCGAGCCCCUGCGCAUCGUGCUGGCGGGGUGUCCGGAGGUGGCGGGCCCCACGCUGCUGGCCAAGCGGCGCUACAUGCGCCAGCACCUGGAUCACGUGCGGCGACGGCUCGUGUACGAACCCCGGGGGCACCGGGACAUGUACGGGGCCGUGCUGGUGCCGAGCGAGCUGCCGGACGCGCACCUGGGCGUCCUGUUCCUGCACAACGAAGGCUACAGCUCCAUGUGCGGCCACGCCGUGCUGGCGCUGGGCCGCUUCGCGCUCGACUUCGGGCUGGUGGCUGCGCCCCCGGCCGGCGCCCGCGAGGCCCGCGUCAACAUCCACUGCCCGUGCGGGCUGGUGGCCGCCUUCGUGCAGUGCGAGGGCGGCCGGAGCCGCGGCCCGGUGCGCUUCCACAGCGUCCCGGCCUUCGUGCUGGCCACAGGUAACCCGCGGGACCGCCCACCCUCGGGCUGCAACCCGAGACGCUACUAACUACACUCGUUCUCUCGGCUGGAACCCACACCGCGCAACUAACCCACCCCACAGCCUUUGCAAAUAAUGAAAAGGCAAUUCUAAGUCACUGCAGAUAGCCUUCGGAUUUGUGCGGAGCAUGCAAUUCAAUGAUCGAUCCCCCAGGUCCGUGGACCUGUGGUCUUGAGAGCCUUGAGACAUCCUAACCUUAAACCUAACCCUAACCCUAACCCAAACCCUUUGCAAAUAAUAAAAAGGUAAUUCUAAGUCACUUGCUAUAGCCUUCGGAUUUGUGCGAAGCAUGCAAUUCAGUGAUUGAUCCCCCAGGGCCAUGGGCCUGUGGUCUUGAUAGUCUUGAGACACCCGAAAAUCCUAACCCUAAAACCCUAACCCAAUUCCGUGCUUCCCUCAGCGCCUCGCUCCCCACUCGGCAGGCAUUCCUAGAUUUCACAGUUGGCUAAAGCUAGGUCGGCCGGAGUCAAAGGGCAAAGAACAGCCAGUGGGCCCGGUUCCAGGCUGGCUCAGAAUGCCCUCGCCAGACACACCAUCCCCUCUGACAGGUUACUAAACACAGGUUACUGGGACUGAUCUGUAAAAAGUGCUUCUCCACUUCUUGGGGAGGAAAUUAAAUGAGAAUGAACUAGGUAACUUACAAAUCGUGAAAGUACUGAUGUCGCUA